rnacentral:RNase_P_RNA from 2 species
CGGGGGGUCACAGGCAGCCGCCCUGCCCCCCGCUUGCGGGAUAAGCGGCAGAGGAGGAAAGUCCGAUCUCCGCAGGGCACGGCGGUGGAUAACGUCCACCGGGAGCAAUCCCAGGGAAAGUGCCACAGAAACCACACCGCCCGCCUCACGGCGGGUAAGGGUGAAAUGGUGGGGUCCGCCUCCAGCGGACUUAAUGUAAGAGCCCACCGCCUCGGCGGUGACGUCGAGGGCAGGGCAAACCCCGCCGGGAGCAAGGCCGAAUAGGGGAGGACGAGGCGGCCCGUCUCGCUAUCACUCCCGGGUUGGCCGCUGGAGGGCGUCGGCAACGGCGCUCCCAGACGAAUGGCUGCCGUCCGCCGCAAGGCGGGCUACAGAACUCGGCUUACGGGGCCCCCCGGCAG